rnacentral:rRNA from 1 species
UGCCCAGACUCCUACGGGAGGCAGCAGCGGGGGAUAUUGCACAAUGGGGGAAACCCUGAUGCAGCGACGCCGCGUGGGUGAAGAAGCGCCUCGGCGCGUAAAGCCCUGUCAGCAGGGAAGAAAAUGACGGUACCUGAAGAAGAAGCCCCGGCUAACUACGUGCCAGCAGCCGCGGUAAUACGGAGGAUGCGAGCGUUAUCCGGAUUUAUUGGGUUUAAAGGGUGCGCAGGCGGCACGGCAAGCCGGCGGUCAAAUCGCGGGGCUCAACCCCGCCCAGCCGUCGGAACUGCCGGGCUAGAGUGGGCGAGAAGUGCGCGGAAUGCGUGGUGUAGCGGUGAAAUGCAUAGAUAUCACGCAGAACUCCGAUUGCGAAGGCAGCGCACCGGCGCCCUACUGACGCUCAGGCACGAAAGCGUGGGUAUCGAACAGGAUUAGAUACCCUAGUAC